CCACGUCAAGGCAAAUCACGCGCAAAGCCACUUCCGCGUCUUCGUCGUCGUCUCCAGCCAGACUCCAAGCAAGCCAAGAGGCCGCGAGAUCUCCUCCGCCCCGCACCGCCAUGGACGCCGUGGACUCGGUGGUCGACCCGCUCAGGGAGUUCGCCAAGGACAGCAUCCGCCUCGUCAAGCGCUGCCACAAGCCAGACCGCAAGGAGUUCACCAAGGUGGCGGCGCGGACGGCGAUCGGCUUCGUCGUCAUGGGCUUCGUCGGCUUCUUCGUCAAGCUCAUCUUCAUCCCCAUCAACAACAUCAUCGUCGGGUCAGGCUGAUCCAAUUCCAGCAGUUGAGGGGCUGCAGGACUGGACAAUGGCGUCAAAUACCUUGGAAGCAGCACCAGUUUGCAGCCCGGACAUCGUAAAGCAGUUCCUUUAGGACUUCCUUUUGUUAAGACCAGCUCCUUUCUGUUUUCUCAAAAGAUUGUAUUGGUAGACCUGGAACUCUGUUGGAACCUUGAUACAUCCGUGAAUUAACAGGUGACAAAAUCCAAUGGUUACCGUUUCCUCACCUGUUGUCUUCUCGGUUGUGUUAGUUUGGUUCCGUUCUUGAUUGCUCGAAGGUUUCU